rnacentral:rRNA from 1 species
UACGUAGGGUGCGAGCGUUUAAUCGGAAUUACUGGGCGUAAAGCGUGCGCAGGCGGUUUUGUAAGCCAGAAUGUGAAAGCCCCCGGGCUCAACCUGGGAAUGGCAUUUGGGACUGCAAGGCUUGAGUGCGGCAGAGGAGACUGGAAUUCCUGGUGUAGCAGUGAAAUGCGUAGAUAUCAGGAGGAAUACCGAUGGCGAAGGCAGGUCUCUGGGCUGACACUGACGCUCAUGACACGA